rnacentral:rRNA from 1 species
UACGUAGGGUGCAAGCGUUAAUCGGAAUUACUGGGCGUAAAGCGUGCGCAGGCGGUUAUGUAAGACAGAUGUGAAAAGCCCAGGGCUCAACCUUGGAAAUGCCUUUGAUACUGGUUGUCUUGAGUUCGGGAGAGGUGAGUGGAAUGCCGAGUGUAGAGGUGAAAUUCGUAGAUAUUCGGCGGAACACCAGUGGCGAAGGCGACUCACUGGCCCGGUACUGACGCUGAGGUGCGAAAGCGUGGGGAGCAAACAGGGAUUAAGAAACCCAUGGGUACGGUCCAGAAC